CCUACGGGAGGCAGCAGUGAGGAAUAUUGGUCAAUGGACGCAAGUCUGAACCAGCCAUGCCGCGUGCAGGAAGACGGCUCUAUGAGUUGUAAACUGCUUUUGUACGAGGGUAAACGCAGAUACGCGUAUCUGUCUGAAAGUAUCGUACGAAUAAGGAUCGGCUAACUCCGUGCCAGCAGCCGCGGUAAUACGGAGGAUUCAAGCGUUAGCCGGAUUUAUUGGGUUUAAAGGGUGCGUAGGCGGUCUGAUAAGUUAGAGGUGAAAUCCCGAGGCUCAACUUCGGAAUUGCCUCUGAUAAGGUUCGGCUAGAGAGUAGUUGCGGUAGGCGGAAUGUAUGGUGUAGCGGUGAAAUGCUUAGAGAGCAUACAGAACACCGAUUGCGAAGGCAGCAUACCAAGCUACUUCUGACGUUGAGGCACGAAAGCGUGGGGAGCAAACAGGAUUAGAUACCCGAGUAGUC
rnacentral:rRNA from 1 species